rnacentral:rRNA from 1 species
AAAACGACUCUCGGCAACGGAUAUCUCGGCUCWCGCAUCGAUGAAGAACGUAGCGAAAUGCGAUACUUGGUGUGAAUUGCAGAAUCCCGUGAACCAUCGWGUCUUUGAACGCAAGUUGCGCCCUAAGCCAUUUGGCCGAGGGCACGUCYGCMUGGGCGUCAAU